rnacentral:rRNA from 1 species
AGCCUAACACAUGCAAGUCGAACGGUAGCACAGAGAGCUUGCUCUCGGGUGACGAGUGGCGGACGGGUGAGUAAUGUCUGGGAAACUGCCUGAUGGAGGGGGAUAACUACUGGAAACGGUAGCUAAUACCGCAUAACGUCGCAAGACCAAAGAGGGGGACCUUCGGGCCUCCUGCCAUCAGAUGUGCCCAGAUAGGAUUAGCUAGUAGGUGGGGUAACGGCUCACCUAGGCGACGAUCCCUAGCUAGUCUGAGAGGAUGACCAGCCACACUGGAACUGAGACACGGUCCAGACUCCUACGGGAGGCAGCAGUGGGGAAUAUUGCACAAUGGGCGCAAGCCUGAUGCAGCCAUGCCGCGUGUAUGAAGAAGGCCUUCGGGUUGUAAAGUACUUUCAGCGGGGAGGAAGGUGUUGCGGUUAAUAACCGCAGCAAUUGGCGUUACCCGCAGAAGAAGCACCGGCUGACUCCGUGCCAGCAGCCGCGGUAAUACGGAGGGUGCAAGCGUUAA